GCGAAGGUGGCGGAAUUGGUAGACGCGCUAGCUUCAGGUGUUAAUGUGUCCUUACGGACGUGGGGGUUCAAGUCCCCCCCCUCGCACCA
rnacentral:tRNA from 1 species